rnacentral:tRNA from 1 species
UCAGAAAGGAGAGACUCUAACUCUCAUCCUCAACUCCCAAAGCUGAGAUCAUAAAUUGAACUACCUUCUG